rnacentral:rRNA from 1 species
AGUGAACGCUGGCGGUAGGCCUAACACAUGCAAGUCGAACGGCAGCACAGUAAGAGCUUGCUCUUACGGGUGGCGAGUGGCGGACGGGUGAGGAAUAAAUAGGAAUCUACUUUUUCGUGGGGGAUAACGUAGGGAAACUUACGCUAAUACCGCAUACGACCUACGGGUGAAAGCAGGGGAUCUUCGGACCUUGCGCGAUUGAAUGAGCCGAUGUCGGAUUAGCUAGUUGGCGGGGUAAAGGCCCACCAAGGCGACGAUCCGUAGCUGGUCUGAGAGGAUGAUCAGCCACACUGGAACUGAGACACGGUCCAGACUCCUACGGGAGGCAGCAGUGGGGAAUAUUGGACAAUGGGCGCAAGCCUGAUCCAGCCAUACCGCGUGGGUGAAGAAGGCCUUCGGGUUGUAAAGCCCUUUUGUUGGGAAAGAAAAGCAGCAGGUUAAUACCCCGCUGUUCUGACGGUACCCAAAGAAUAAGCACCGGCUAACUUCGUG